AUACAUAAAUAACAACAGACUACUAGCAGUUAACUGACAUGCCAGCUCCAGACCUCAAUUAAACUGAUUGAAAGAUUAUGUCUUCAUCAUAUGAAUAUCAGGUACAACCCCUCCCGUUAGGGGUUUAGUAUCAUACUAUCAUAAAAUAUAUGAGAAGAACAUAACCCGUGUCAUGCCAACAACUGUUUUUUUUAAGAAAUAAAUGUGUUUAGUUCCGAUGCAAAGA
rnacentral:lncRNA from 1 species